GUCAGUUUAGCUUAGAGGUAAAGCACUAGACACGUACUCUCAGGGAUGUGAGUUUGAGUCUCAUGGCUGGCC
rnacentral:tRNA from 1 species